rnacentral:lncRNA from 1 species
UGGAUGGUACAUAUUUAUUGCUCCAAGCAAAUAUUUGAAAAACAAAACUGGAGAUAGGGGAAGUGCCAUACAAACUUCAUCUACAGUAUCAACUUCUACAUGAUAUUUUACUAAUUUAUAGAGAGAAAAACGUGAAGACAACAACAAGGACAACCGGUCCCUAGCUUGCCAGCAAGGGUUGUACCGGCAUAAGAUCAGCUUUAGGAAUCACAGGAAUCCAUAUAUUAAUCACCGUAAC